GGCCUCAUCGUCUAACGGUUAGGAUACCAGGUUUUCAUCCUGGCGAUCGGGGUUCGAUUCCCCGUGAGGCUACCA
rnacentral:tRNA from 2 species